GACGAACGCUGGCGGCGUGCUUAACACAUGCAAGUCGAGCGGUAAGGCCCUUUCGGGGUACGACGAGCGGCGAACGGGUGAGUAACACGUGGGUGACCUGUCCUCAGCUCUGGGAUAAGCCUGGGAAACCGGGUCUAAUACUGGAUAUGACUCCAUGACGCAUGUUGUGGGGUGGAAAGCCUUGUGCGGCUGAGGAUGGGCCCGCGGCCUAUCAGCUUGUUGGUGGGGUGAUGGCCUACCAAGGCGA
rnacentral:rRNA from 1 species